rnacentral:rRNA from 1 species
GACGAACGCUGGCGGCGUGCUAAACACAUGCAAGUCGAACGAAGUGGCGAACGGGUGAGUAAAGCGUAAUCAACAUGCCCUUCAGAGGGGGACAACAGUUGGAAACGACUGCUAAUCACGCAUACUGAAGGUGGGGACUGAGUCUGAUUAGCUAGUUGGAGGGGUAACGGCCCACCAAGGCGAUGAUCAGUAGCCUGUCUGAGAGGGUGGACGGCCAAAUUGGGACUGGUACACGGCCCAGACUCCUACGGGGGGCAGCAGUGGGGAAUCUUCCGCAAUGGACGAAAGUCUGACUGAGCAACGCCGCGUGAGUGAUGGCGGCCUUCGGGUUGUAAAGCUCUGUUAAUCGGGACGCGGUACCGGAAUAGAAAGCCACGGCUAACUACGUGCCAGCCGCCGCGGUAAUAC